UUGAUCCUGGCUCAGAAUCAACGCUGGCGGCGUGCCUAACACAUGCAAGUCGAACGCGAAAGCCCCGCAAGGGGUAAGUAGAGUGGCAAACGGGUGAGUUACACGUGGGUGACCUGCCUUCGAGUGGGGGAUAACGUCCCGAAAGGGACUCUAAUACCGCAUGACAUCCUGCUCUUGGACGAGCGGAGAUCAAAGCUGGUGAUCGCAAGACCUGGCGCUUGAAGAGGGGCCCGCGCCUGAUUAGCUAGUUGGUGAGGUAACGGCUCACCAAGGCGACGAUCAGUAUCCGGCCUGAGAGGUCGGACGGACACACUGGGACUGAGACACGGCCCAGACUCCUACGGGAGGCUGCAGUGGGGAAUUGUUCGCAAUGGGCGCAAGCCUGACGACGCAACGCCGUGUGGAGGAUGAAGAUCUUCGGGUCGUAAACUCCUGUCGAGCGGGAAGAAUGUUUCGCGGAUGAAUAAGCCGCGGAAGUGACGGUACCGCUAAAGGAAGCUCCGGCUAACUCCGUGCCAGCAGCCGCGGUAAUAAGGU
rnacentral:rRNA from 1 species